rnacentral:ncRNA from 1 species
GUAAAUGCUGUGAUAAGAAAUAGUAGCAUAAAGUAAACUAACAGAGAAAAAUCCUCCUAGCUGAAAGGGAUUUUUAGUAUAACUUGUGUGAAUGCAUCUUUGAGCACUGUCUUGAAAUAUAGUAGACGACAGCGUGUACGCCCGUUAAAGCGUUGAGGUAUGUAUGUACCAAAAUGAGAUAUCAUUGUAUAUUUUUAUUAUACAUAUGAUAAUUAGAGUGGAACCGCGGAAGUUAACUUCUGCCUCUAAG